GAGUGUUCAAAGGAGAGUGCGUAUUUAAUUUGAAACGGAAAAAACGAGAUUAUUAACUUACUGUGAUCGCCAGGGAUCCAUUUGCACGAGGUGAGUUUUGCCGAAUCGCGUAGUCUGGCGCGAGUAAAGGUUUACUGACCGCCCUAAAGCCACUCUCUCUUUCGAAGACACGAGCAGCCAACAGCUGCGAUUGGGGACAGUUAAGAUUAUAUAUGAUGUAAAUAUAUUGAGGGUUUGUCAGGUCUUCCAGGCCAUAAAACCCACUCUAAUGACCCCACGUGCUCUCCAUGAACCACUCGCAGGUCCUGCUUAAGGCAAUUGGCAUAAAUAACCCUCAAAACUCCAAAAUACGUGAACAGAAAGCUAAAAAGACGGCCUUCCUUAAAAAAGCAACUUAGUAGCCACUAUUGCACCGAAUGUGUGUAAUAGUCAAGAGAGCAAGUGUCGAAACUUAGAGCGACAUGGAAAUUUCGUGAAACUUCAGUUUAGGUGGCAAAUCGAAGCGAUUUUACAGAAGGUCUACAAGAUGAGAGUCUACCUUGAAAUGACAUUUACACAAAAAACUUACUAAAUGUCUUUUUUAGUCAUGUGAUGAACUGACAAAAUCAACAAUAAAUUCUGUAUGAAUAAUAAACCA